GUCUGUGAUUUAGCCUCAUCCUUAAAAAAAAAAUUCGUUUUUAUAAUAAUAUUAUAACAAUAGUGUAGCAAGAUAAGUAUGUAUAUAUAUUUAUUUAAAAAGUCAAAGUAGCAAGAAUGCUAAUAAUAAAUAGAUUUGAAAGCUUUGAGGAAAUGCGAUCUACCAGGCUUUGAUUCUAGAUCAGGGGUGGGCAACCUUUUUGUAUUGAGGGCCGCAUUUUUUAAAAAUUGGGAAUGGCUAGCCGCAUAUUUAUAUACAACUUAUAGUUAUAGAGACACUCUAAGCUAACUGUGUAGAAUGUCUUUUAAUUCAUAUUUACACUGUAUUAUAUCCUGACAAAUAUACAGUUGUACUUAAUGUACAGUAUUUUACUUUCUACACUCAUGCAUAAUGUUCGGAACUAUGGAACUAGCUUUUAUCCUUGUGACUGCUGUCAAAUUACAGUCAGUCAAAAUUGACCAGUAGCAAUGCUUGUUUAGUUUCCACAAAGGAAAAGGCUUGUUCACUGAAUGAGACAAUAUAUGUUCCAGAAGUUAAAUGUCGGGACGAGAGAAACUUGCCCAUCACCAGAGAAUGCUGACCAUGUCCUUCAAUGGUGCAUUCUAAAUCAAGAGACCCGAACAAGACUUUGGCCCGAAAACCCUCCUAUAGAACCAAAACUAUUCAGAUAUACGAUUACUGAUUUGAACUCUCCAACAUGUAAAAUGAGAACGAAGAAGAACAGAUGUAUGUGUACACAAAUAGUGUGAAUAGCAGCAAUAGUAUUUUAAGUGUGGAAAUACAGCUUCUGGCAUUCAUAAGACACCAUGGUAGUACUGACUGGAACUUCUCUUUGCUUGGAAAUAUGUCCUCUGGAGCUGAAUCAGCUUCUGCGCUAAAUGACUGUUGUGACACAGUUACUAUAUGGCAUGUGUGGCAAACCGUUACACAUGGUCAAGUGUGUGUACCUGGACAGUUAGUGGACUGGAGAGCCAGUCACGAGUGUGUGUUGUCAACAAUGAGAAAGAAAACAUCUAAUGGACUCAUUUGUGUCGAAUGUUAACCUUAUGUACACAUAUUGUUAUUAAAUUCUUUGCAAAUAAAGACUUAAAGGAACUUCUAUCAUCACAAACAGGUUAUUGAAAUCUUUCAAUUUUCCUUUAAUAAAUGAAACAAUAUUUCAUUAUGAGAUCAUUUUUAUAAAAUGAAAAUCCGGAUAAACAAAAAGGUUGAAAAAAGAAACUAAAUAUCUUUAAAAUAGAUUUGGACAUAAUUUAAAGUUAGGUAUAAGGUACACAUAAAUUAUAAGGCACUGUAUCAUUGACUCUGCAUUUAUAAUAUCAAUUCUGUGUUGUUCAUAAGUUGACAGAAAAACAAGAAUAAAAGUUUGAAAUACUUAAAUGUACAGAAAUAAAAAUCAACAUUAGGACAUGAUUACAUGCAUAUAUUAUUGAGAUACUGGUAUUUAAAUUUUUUUGGGUAAUACAAUGUACUUUUUGUCUUUAAUUUAAAAAAAAAAUAAA